rnacentral:lncRNA from 1 species
GCUUAGUCCGGCAUGGCCCUGAGCAUCACCCUGAGAACCCCCAAACCUCAGCCAAGCUGAGGAGCUAGAGUUAGACUCCCCAGCAGUCAGACAGAGAGAGGGGCCAAGGCUAGAUCACGAAGAACUUCCAAGAUGGCCAGCUUUUUCCUCAUGCUCCUGAGGGGAAACAAAAGCCUGGCAGCGUAAGACAAAGGCUCUGUGGGCCUUUCUUCCUGCCAGCAGGCCCUGCUGAUGGGUUUAGCUCCUCAAGUUCAAGGCCAGAUCAGGACGUGUUCCACAACAGCCAUCCUUUCUUCAAACGUCUAAAUUAGGAGAUGAAGAGACCCUUCAGAAACUUAAAAAAACCCAGCCCUCAAGAAGAGAAUGGAUAGUUGGCUUCCAGAGUCCCAUCUCUGCUUUAAAGAAGAGUCAGUCAAGGACAGUCAGCUGUUGUGAUGCACAUGCUUAAUCCAAAAACUUGGGAGGCAGAGGCAAGUGGAUGUCUGUGAGUUCAAGGCCAGCCUCAUCUACAAGAGUUCCAGGUCACCUAGAGGUACGUAGUGACACUCUGUGGUCCCCCCCCCCCCAAUAAAAGUGACAAAUAAGUCACUUGCCUUAUUCAGUGUUGUGUAGUUCAUUGUAUGAAUGGCACCAAGUGAUUUCAGGGUUAUUGGGGGCAUUUGGGUAUUAUGGUCCCUUGGCUUCCAAGAGAGACAUUCAUUAAGCAAAGACAAUCUUCUUCAAUAAAAAGUGGUUCUCAGUUGGGCGGGGGUAGUACACAUCUUUAAUCCCAGCACUCAGGAGGCAGAAGCAGGCAAAUCUCUGAGUUCGAAGCCAGCCUGCUCUAUACAGAGAAUGCCUGUCAAAACAAACAAACAAACAGACAGACAAACAACAAAAACAAAAACCUAAACCCAGAC